AAAAAAACAGGGCUCGUCGUCUUUUGUGGAUCGGUCUCUUGAAAACUGGAGGGAAAUUGUUGCAUUGUGAUUUGGUGAACCUAUGUAAGUACGUUAGUGGCAGAUGGUUCACUAUAUAAUGGCACAUUU